rnacentral:misc_RNA from 1 species
GAAGAAUCUUACUUCUAGUUCUCCGAUAUCGCAGUGUAAUCGCUGGUAUCAAUUUGUGCAGGAGCGACAGCAGAUAUCACAACCGAAGCUCCAAAAAAUAUAACUAUAAGAGCAGUAAAGUUGACUAAGUAGGCUUCCGGGCCGUAUUUAAAGAGGCCCGAGUUCUCCAGAAAUGUGAGUUUCUCGAGAAAGCCUAACUCAGCAGCGAGCAACGCCAAUAUGUAGACAAAGAGCCCGAACAAUGCAUGCCAAGGAAGAGCAUCUCGUCUGAAGGUUAGUGCGGCUCCAGGAUAGAAGAAGGUAUAGAACCCAAAUAUCCACUGAACACCGUAU